ACCACUACUACACAACACCACUACACUACUACUACUACACCACACCACAACGCUAAACCACUACACUACCACUACUACACUACACCACACCACUACACUACACCACAACGCUACACCACUACACUACUACUACACCACUACACUACACCACAACGUACACUACUACACCACUACACUACACCACAACGCUACACCACUACACUACACCACAACGUACACUACUACACCACUACACCACACCACUACACUACACCACUACUGAACCGCUACACUACACCAGCACAACACUACUACACCACUACACUACUACACCACUACACUACACCACUUCACUACACCACUACUACACUGCAACACUACUACACCACUUCACCAAUACACUACACCAUUACACCACUACACUACUACACCACUACACUACACCAUUACACCACUACACUACACCAUUACACCACUACACGACACCACUACACUACACUGCUACGCUACACCACUACACUACACCACUACUACACUGCAACACUACUACACCACUUCACCAAUACACUACACCAUUACACCACUACACUACUACACCACUACACUACACCAUUACACCACUACACUACACCAUUACACCACUACACGACACCACUACACUACACCGCUACACUACACCACUACUACACUGAACCACUACACUACUACUACACUACACCACUACACUACACCACUACUACACUGCACAACAACUACACAACUACUACACCACUACACUACGACACCACAUCACUACACCUCUACUACACUACUACACCGCUACACUACACCACUACACCGCUGCACCACCACUACUGCACUACACCACCACACUACAACACUACACCGCUACACUACACCGCUACACUACACCACCACUUCACUACUACACCACUACACCACUACUACACUACACCACUACUACACCACUACACUACUACACCACUACUACACCACUACACUACACCACUGCACUACACUACUACACUACUACUGCACUACACCUCUACUACACCACUACUACACUACUACUACACAACUCUACUACACCACUACACUACUGCACUACUACUACACCACUACACUACUACAACUACACUACACCACUACAUUACACCACUACGCUACACCAUUACACCACUAUUACAUCACUACACUACACCACUACUACACUACUACACCGCUACACUACACCACACCCCACCACACCACUACACUACACCACUACUACACCACUACACUACACUACUACACCACACUACACCUCUGCACCAAUGCACCACUAUACUACACCACUAUGCUACACCCCUACACUACACCAGUCCCAUAAAAUUCAAGUUAUCAGCGUGUCUCAUCACAAUCACUUUCACAUCUCUGUGUCUUCCAUUGUGUGUGCCUUUGAUGUCUUGCAGGUAA
rnacentral:lncRNA from 1 species